rnacentral:rRNA from 1 species
UACGUAGGGCGCGAGCGUUGUCCGGAAUUAUUGGGCGUAAAGAGCUCGUAGGCGGCUUGUUGCGUCGACUGUGAAAACCCGCGGCUUAACUGCGGGCUUGCAGUUGAUACGGGCAGGCUAGAGUUCGGUAGGGGAGACUGGAAUUCCUGGUGUAGCGGUGAAAUGCGCAGAUAUCAGGAGGAACACCGGUGGCGAAGGCGGGUCUCUGGGCCGAUACUGACGCUGAGGAGCGAAAGCGUGGGGAGCGAACAGG